AUGGCCCGCCCGCCCGCCGCCGCGAACCUCAAGCGCAAGCGGAAGCGCCGCCGCCGCCCCAAGGCCGGCAAGGGCGCGGCCGCCGACUUGCCCGACUUCUUCUCCAACCUCCCCGACGACGUCGUGCUCGCCAUCGCCAACCGCCUCCCGACCCGCCUCGCCGUCACGCUCUCCGUCCUCGCCCGCCGCUACCGCCACCUCCCCUCCCUCUACUCCCACCUCGACUCCGUCAGGUUCUCCGGGCCCGCCUCCCCGGUCCCUCUGCCCGCCAGCCAGCCCAAGCUCCUCCGCCGCCUCGACAUCGCCCCGCCCAAACCUAUCAAGCCCUCCGCCCUCCGCCACGUCAUCAACGCCGCCGCCAACCACGGCCUCUCCGAGCUCGCCGUCCGCCUGCACCGCCGCGUCUGCCUGCCCAAGAAUGUCUUCGCCAUCCGCUCUCUCGCCGUGUUAUCCCUCAACACCUGCAGCGUGCCGCCCCUCUCCGCCGUCACUUGCGCCCGCCUCCGGACGCUCAAGCUACACCGCGUCUACAUCAAACAGGUGGUCCUCACCGCCAUCCUCUCCGCGGCGACCGGGCUCCAGACGCUGGAGAUGGUACACUGCACGGGCUUGGACGCCGGAUGCACGGUGGAGUCGUUGACCGUGAGGAGCUUCUUGUUUAUGCCCAACGUGGAGCAACGGGAGGUCACGCUGAGAGCGCCGGGGCUGAGGACAAUCACGCUUCACACGCGACCCAAGACGCAGAAGGUGCACCUGGAGCCUUCGCCGGAUGUCAGCAAGGUAUACCUGCACGUCGCCAAGUCCCAGGAAAAGGUUCUCUUCAGGAUGCGGCCGUUCUUGGAUGCUGCCACAGGGCUAGCUUCCCUUACGCUCAGAGGCUGUGCUGUGAAGUUGUUAGCUGGUGAAUAUAAAGAUAUUGUGAAGUUGCCAAUUACAUUUGAAGGGUUGAGGAUAUUGUCAGUGAGCUUGAAUUUCUCGCGUGAAUCAGAAGCUGUUUUCCUGGUGAAGCUGCUUCAGAGCUGUCCUAGCCUACAGCAGUUGACCGUCUCGGCUGCUGAAAAUAAGAUGACAGAGGCGUCCUUUAGUUUUGCUGAUCACAAGAAGAUGCUUGCAAAGGCAUCAUGCCUAACUAAUAGCCUGUUGAAGAUUAAGUUUCUUGGGUUCAAGUCUGGAGAAUAUGAGAAGGACCUCCUUGUUUUCCUAUUAAAUCGAACCAAUAAGCUGAAGAAGAUUGGGGUGCAGUUUCCAGCAAGCGAAGAAACCGCUGUGAAGUGGGCUUUAUCUGUGAGGCCAGCCCCAAUCGAGAGAAGAUCUACUAUGUUCAACAAGGGCUACCUGCAGUUGGAGUAUACCUGA
rnacentral:rRNA from 1 species